AACGAACGCUGGCGGCGCGCCUAAUACAUGCAAGUCGAGCGAGAAGACGUAGCAAUACGUUUGUAAAGCGGCGAGCGGGUGAGGAAUACAUGGGUAACCUACCCUCGAGUGGGAAGUAACUAGCCGAAGGUUAGCUAAUACCGCGUACGCUCCUUGGACUUCGGUUCAGGAGGAAAGCGAUACCGUGGGUAGUCGCGCUCUUGGAUGGGCUCAUGUCCUAUCAGCUUGUUGGUGAGGUAACGGC
rnacentral:rRNA from 1 species